AGUUUAUACCGUAGCUUGCUACACCAUAGACUGUGAGUUGCGAACGGGUGAGUAACGCGUAGGUAACCUGCCUGGUAGCGGGGGAUAACUAUUGGAAACGAUAGCUAAUACCGCAUAAUAUUGAUUAUUGCAUGAUAAUUGAUUGAAAGAUGCAACUGCAUCACUACCAGAUGGACCUGCGUUGUAUUAGCUAGUAGGUGAGGUAACGGCUCACCUAGGCGACGAUACAUAGCCGACCUGAGAGGGUGAUCGGCCACACUGGGACUGAGACACGGCCCAGACUCCUACGGGAGGCAGCAGUAGGGAAUCUUCGGCAAUGGACGAAAGUCUGACCGAGCAACGCCGCGUGAGUGAAGAAGGUUUUCGGAUCGUAAAGCUCUGUUGUAAGAGAAGAACGGGUGUGAGAGUGGAAAGUUCACACUGUGACGGUAUCUUACCAGAAAGGGACGGCUAACUACGUGCCAGCAGCCGCGGUAAUACGUAGGUCCCGAGCGUUGUCCGGAUUUAUUGGGCGUAAAGCGAGCGCAGGCGGUUAGAUAAGUCUGAAGUUAAAGGCUGUGGCUUAACCAUAGUACGCUUUGGAAACUGUUUAACUUGAGUGCAGAAGGGGAGAGUGGAAUUCCAUGUGUAGCGGUGAAAUGCGUAUAUAUAUGGAGGAACACCGGUGGCGAAAGCGGCUCUCUGGUCUGUAACUGACGCUGAGGCUCGAAAGCGUGGGGAGCGAACAGGAUUAUAUACCCUGGUACUCCACGCCGUAAACGAUGAGUGCUAGGUGUUAGG
rnacentral:rRNA from 1 species